rnacentral:lncRNA from 1 species
GUUGAUUGAAAUUUAGUGCUUGGUUGGAAUGAUUGAGGAUUGAAAUUGAAAAAUGAGGUUGUUGGUUGUUUAAGAAUGAGGUGAUGUUAUGAUGUUAGUUAAAAAAAAAAAGAGAAAAAUGAAGAAAAAAAAAUUAAAAAAGAAGAGAAGGAAAAGAAAAUGUUGGAGUUUGAAUGCCUAUGUAUUGGGAAUAAGGGUUGAUUUGAUUUAGUAUGAUUUUGGAAUUCGAAUGUGGUGAACUACUUGCAUUUUGUUGGUUUUAUUAGCCUUGUUUAUCCACUUUUGUUUAUCCUACCUAUGCACCCUAGCCCCAUUACAACCUUGUGGAAAGACCUAUUGAUUCAUGGAUAAGUUUAGUUUUCAAAUGAAAGAUAUUGACAUAGUGGCAAACUUAUAAUGGAUAGAGUCGAGUUGCAUGUGUG